CCCGCUGAACUUAAGCAUAUCAAUAAGCGGAGGAAAAGAAACUAACAAGGAUUCCCCUAGUAACUGCGAGUGAAGAGGGAAGAGCUCAAAUUUGAAAUCUGGCAGUGUUUUGCUGUCCGAGUUGUAAUCUAGAGAAGUGCUGCCCGUGCUGGACCAUGUACAAGUCUCCUGGAAUGGAGCGUCACAGAGGGUGAGAAUCCCGUCUUUGACAUGGACUGCCAGUGCAUUUGUGGUGUGCUCUCAAAGAGUCGAGUUGUUUGGGAAUGCAGCUCUAAAUGGGUGGUAAACUCCAUCUAAAGCUAAAUAUUGGCGAGAGACCGAUAGCGAACAAGUACCGUGAGGGAAAGAUGAAAAGAACUUUGGAAAGAGAGUUAAACAGUAUGUGAAAUUGUUGAAAGGGAAACGCUUAAAGUCAGUCGUGUCGGCCAGGGAUCAACUCAGUAUUAUCUGCUGGGUGUACUUCCUGAUCUGAUGGGCCAACAUCAGUUUUGACUGCUGGAGAAGGAUAGAGGGAAUGUGGCACCUUCGGGUGUGUUAUAGCCUCUCAUUGUAUGCAUCGGUUGGGACUGAGGAACUCAGCACGCCGCAAGGCCGGGUUUUUAACCACGUUCGUGCUUAGGAUGCUGGCAUAAUGGCUUUAAUCGACCCGUCUUGAAACACGG
rnacentral:rRNA from 1 species